rnacentral:lncRNA from 1 species
CUCCAUUUUGACAUUUGUCAUCUUCCUGGAAGGCCACCGUCACGGCGGGCCCAGGAGGGGCAGGACUCAUGGUGAGAUGGGCCUGGAGCACUCUGACUCCCCUGGCCAGACAGGCUCCCCUGUAGCAGCCCCCACAGCCCCCAUUCCUCCUUUCUGCUGCCUUGAUGUCUCCGACAUCCCAUUUCGGCAGACCCUGCUGGGCUGAGGGGGUGCUUCUGCCUUAGAGGACACAGACGAGCAGGCCAGGGCCACAUGCUGACCAUGGCCCUUGUCCAGGCUUCCAGUGAGCUCUGCCUCCCCAGAUGCAGCCCAGGUUCCUGGACCCCCAGCACACAGGCCCCAGCAGCAGCAUCUUCUGCAUCAAGAAGCUCCAGUGUCUGUCUCCGGAGUGCCAGGGCCUUGGGGCACACGCUGGGGCUGCUCGCUGGUGUCCGAUCUCCGACAGCGACCGUCCACAUCCACAUCAGAUGCCCGUCCGGUGAAGAGGCUCCGCGAAACUCUGCUCCCAACAAGGUGAUGUGGUGUUCUGUGGGAGAGACUGCUAACUCAGAGCUGGGGCUGAAGUCCUUCCCUCUGGAGUCACCGUGCAGCCUGCGCGUGUCUGGCGCCUGCAGCCUUGUGCCUCGCAGGGGAUUCUGCCGUCUGUGCUUUCUCGGAGAUGAGGCCCCUCACUGUCACCCAGUGUCGUCCGUGAUGGGCACAGCAUCAGAUCCGGAGCGGGUGCAGGAUGCCGUGGAUCAGGGGCACGUGGCGGUUAGUGGGGGCACUCUGGACAAGUGACCUUCAGGACAAUAUGUUGGUGGAUCCUGGUUAAACAGAGGCAGCCCCCUUCAUGUGGCCAACAUCUGGGGCCUCACGGUGCUGGGGCUGCAGUGGUUCCUACCAGGACCCCGCCCACACGACGUCAGUGCACAGCUCUCCAGAAGGCUUCAGGGCCCUGGGGUCCACAGAACACCCUUCAGGAGAGGCUGGAGUCCGAGGUGGCGACAGGCAGUGGGGUCCAGCUCUGUUCCAGGACCCAGGAAAUGCUCUGUAGGCUCAGGAGUCCUGGAGGCCAGAGGCCCAAGACUCCUGUGGGGUCCACGGUCCCGCCCACCGUCCUGGCGAAGGUGACGGCCCGUACUGCCCGCUCAGACACCCUCCUCGUGUCCUCCUUUCUCCCCCUUGGAAGCCGCCCCAAGGGAGAUGACAUUCAGGACGGAGGAGAAAGAAUUCGUGAAGGCCAGCGGCAGCCCUUCGGGUGGGAGCGCAGAAUAACACACAUCGACCCUCGACGGCUCAGAGUAAACCGCUGGGAGUCCUGACGUCGGGGAGGCUGCACAGAUGGUAGGGUCAGGGACCUCGAGUGGCUGGAGGCGCACGGGAGAGAGGCCUUCCCAGGACAGGGAAGGAAGGGAAGGCUGGGGUCCAGCGGGGGGGGCAUCCGCCCCUGCACUGUGCCCCCCGAGCUUGGCGGGGGUGUCUCUGCAGGGUCUCAGCCCCCAAGCUUACAAAUCCUCCGCCCGAGCUCAGAGGGGCCCCUGCCUGCCGCUCCCCUCAGAGGACGGCGCCCCUGAAGUCAGGAGUCCUCCGACCAGGUGCUUGCGGGAGGCUGCUCCUCCAAGCAGAGGAAAGCGAAGGACACCGCCAUUGAAAUGGCAUCCCAGAAGCUCACACCGGCCCAGAAGGACACCUUCCGCACCGGCCUCUGCCCUGCCUUCUCAGAGCCUCAUUCGUCUUUCAACACCUCACCCCAGACCCUGGGGCCCAUCCCCCAGCCCGCAGCCUGUGCGUGUUUCCAUAGCAACCUGCCCCUGCUGCUGUGGUGACAUCCCAGCGAUGUGAGCUCUUUGAAGGCCGCCCGACCUGGAUCGCUCCGCAGAGUGGGGAGGAGGGGUGCCCGAUGACACUGAGCACAGCCUCCCUUGGGGGCAGGCGGUGAGUGCAGGCUGUGCCUGCUAUCAGCUGCUGUGCCUCGAGCCCUUGACCUCGUUCGAGGACGUCUCGAAGAUGGGGAAACUGAGGCCCAGAGAGAGGGAACCUCCCUUUUCAGUUACAGUAAGAGAAGAGGUCAUGCUGACUGGUGACAACCAGCCCCCCGUCUGGGACACCCCAGAGGAGAAGAGUCGCCACUGAGAAGCGUCCCCUCUGGGUGUGUCCCUGGGGGAUGAAGGCCAGCUGCCCUCCCUCCGGUGGAGCACCAGAGGGCGCUUCCCUCCCCCUUCUCACCCAGAGCCCCCUGGUCUCAAGGCCAGAGCAGGCGAGUUAUCUGCUCCCUCCUGCUGCGCUGAGCCUGGGGGAGGCUGACUGCACAUGGGGAGGGGGACGGCUUCUCACCUCAGCCCAGCGGUCCCAGUGCUGGCGACGUUUCUGGAGCAGCUGAGUUUCUGUCUGGCUGGUGAUCCUCUCUUACAGCAAAGCCGUCGGUACCCCAGCGCGCGCCUGGGGAAUAUCUAGGGCAUCGCAGAGAGGCUGAGCGCGGAGGAGCAAAUGUCAGCAAAGGGUCAGGCGGGGGCCUGGGAGUCACAGCUCCGGGGUCCUGGAUGGAACGCCUCCCAAGCAGAGGAGAGGCUGCUGACUUGGCUCAGACUGCACGCCACUGAAGCAGAAGUCAGUUUCAAGUUGAGGAGGAAGAUGGAUUUUCCCAGAGGCUCUUGGCCUCCUCCCUGGAAAGAGGCAGCUGCGGAUGCGGGUAACUCCUGAGGAGCCCCGAGGUUCCACCCCCUGGCUGCUGGCGGGAGAUGCUGACCGGGCCAUCCCAAGACCCGCCAGCUCCAAGCCCCACGGAGCCAGGAGAGCUGGCGGCCCCACAGCACCAGGUGCCAGGAAUCACUGGGGUGACUCCAGGCCUGGAGCCCAGGGGCAGUUUGGUGCUGUGGUCACCACAGGACAGUGGACGCACUGAUGGGUUGCGGAUCCUGACUCCUCCAUUUGACCUGUAAAAUGGGGUUCCAGCACCCCCAGUUCUUCACGGCUGCCCAGGUCCGUGCCCUUGUCCUGGGGAGCUUAUGUUGGACAGAGUCGGUGUGCCUUUGGAAGGAAAGAUGAAUAAACCAGAGACUAGGGACCCUCCUGGUCUUAUCAGGACAGUAGGGCUGCCCUCCUGAGACUAGGGCUCCCGCCGGGCCUGAGCUCAGGCCCACCUUCCGGCCCCAAGCGGCAUCACAGCAAGGGGGGUGGGUGGGACCAGGAAACCCCCUUCUGCCCACUCUGCUCCCAGGAAAGGCAAUCCCCACCCUGAGGGGCUCCAGGAGCCCAGAGACCCUGUGUCCUGAGCCCCAGCUCCACCCUGUGUGGGCAGGCGCACUUGUUCACUGUGGCUGGACCCCUGUCCCUGUCACUGCAUGGAGGUGUCACCCAGGCCUGGCCCCUCCCAAAGGGACAGUCCACUCUGCCCUUGACCCAGCCCCCUCCCUUCAAGUGAGGGUCCUGUGGCCAAAGGCACCCCUUCUCCCCGGCCCCAGCUGCCCAGGAUGGCCAGGCGCCCUCCCUCCCAGCCCCAGCGAGGGGUGGGUGACAGGAAGGACUUACAGCUGAUGCCCUUCUUGCCGUGACACACCUCCGGUUUCCACAUCACUGGCCCGUCAGUACCGGCAGGACUAUCUGACAAACAGAGGCCUCUCUCCACCGAAUUUUUUAAAAGGCA